ensembl:lincRNA
GGGAGGAGGAGGAGGAGGAGGAGGGAAAAAGAGGGAGGGGGAGCGGGGCGGAGGGAUGGAGCCAGGAGGAGGAAAUAAAUAAAUAAAACAAUAACCUCCGCGCCAAUAAGAGCGAGGGAGAGAGAAAGACGCGGCCAGAGAGCCACCGGUGCCGGUUCGCUCGCCUCUGAGAGGCUCUCCUCGCGCGCGUGUGUGUGCGUGAGUGUGUAUUUGCUGGGACUGGAGCUGGAAAGUUCAAACUAAACGUGUUGCUCUCCCCGGUUGCCGAGGCCGCGCUGAGGCUGCCCAACUUCUCUGGGCCAAGUGACUGGCGUGGCCCAGAGCCCUUGGCGCGUCAGAGGCUGCUCGGCCCUGCGCCCGGGCGCAGCGGCGGCGGCGGCGGCGGCGGCUCUGCUCACCCCGGGAGGGAGCCCGUGGCCAGGGCUGGACCCUCGCCCCGCCACCUCCAGCGACGCUGUCUUCAGCCUCCCCGCCUGGCAACCGCAGAAAGAGUCAGCAAGCAGUGA